UAAAAAAAUAAAUAUUUGAUCACACCGCUGCUUCACGAUAUGAUAGUUGCACUGUUAUGCCUGUCAUGACCCUCAGGUGUCAAGCCUAGGAUAAUGGGAGUGGCCCCACUCAACCCUCCACCUGUUAGCCUGGGACCCAUGAGCUCAGCCCCAGUUUGAGGCUCCACCCUGAGGUCCUGUUGGCAGAGUCCCAGAGCAGCUGAUUGGCCUGCUGGCCCUAUGUAAGCCAGCAGCAGGAUUGGAAUAGGAAGCUGUUUGAACUGGGCUCCAUCCUGCUCUGGACUGUUGUGCCUUGUGUUUCCGGCUCCAGCUCUGGCUUGAUUUCCUGGCAUCCUGAGCCUGCGUGACUCCUGGCAUCUGGCUCAUGAUUCUGAUCUCCAGUUUGUCUCCUACCUGUGAUCCCUGGUAUCCUGACCUGGCCUGACUCUGAUCCCAGUGUGUGUUCUGACUUCCUGUAUCUUGACCCAGCAGACUCUGUCUCAUGACUGUGGACUGCAGCUCUGAUCAUUGGUCUGGGACGCCUGCCUGACUGGCUGUGACAGCCUCAUGAAAGAAUUGGGCUCCAUUCUCUGCUUAGCUCCAAAAAUAUGGUCUGAAGAAAUGUGGUGGUCUUUCCAUAGCAGAGCCCCGCACGCAGGCCCCUCGUGUGGCACAGGGUGGCAGCAGUGUGCUGUUUGAACCAGAUCUCUGCUCCGUGGCUUGUUAGCUAGCAUUGCUUGUGAGAGUCCCUUUGUACAUUUACAGCUGCCUUUUAAAAAAAAAAAUAAAAAGAAUAUUCUGAC